rnacentral:rRNA from 1 species
UACAGAGGGUGCAAGCGUUAAUCGGAGUUACUGGGCGUAAAGGGCGCGUAGGCGGUUAAUUAAGUGAGUUGUGAAAGCCCUGGGCUUAACCUAGGAACGGCAACUUAUACUGAGUAACUGGAGUACUGUAGAGGGUAGUGGAAUUUCCGGUGUAGCGGUGAAAUGCGUAGAGAUCGGAAGGAACACCAGUGGCGAAGGCGACUACCUGGACAGAUACUGACGCUGAGGCGCGAGAGCGUGGGGAGCAAACAGG